UACGUAGGGUGCAAGCGUUGUCCGGAAUUAUUGGGCGUAAAGAGCUCGUAGGCGGUUCGUCACGUCGGCUGUGAAAUCCCGAGGCUCAACCUCGGGUCUGCAGUCGAUACGGGCGGACUUGAGUACUGCAGGGGAGACUGGAAUUCCUGGUGUAGCGGUGAAAUGCGCAGAUAUCAGGAGGAACACCGGUGGCGAAGGCGGGUCUCUGGGCAGUAACUGACGCUGAGGCGCGAAAGCGUGGGGAGCAAACAGG
rnacentral:rRNA from 1 species